CAUCACAAUCACAGACAAGAGUGUCGCCAGCAUUGCCAUCCCGUGACAUGAGACGCUUUGAAGUAGGAAAAAUCGAUAUACUUGAAAAGCCAUGGUGGCAGGAAUUGGUCAUCACCCACCAGGAUUCUACACUGCCCUACAGGUGAUCCCAACUGAGGUUGCCAGAGGAACAGGAUGUGGAAUGCAGUCGCGUUUCAGAGAGGAACCUAAAGUCAGAAUGGACCAGGGGUCUUGCCCUGACCUCUGCCUCUUCACCCAACCCCCACCUGGUCAGGCAGUGACCCUGGAGGGGCUGGGAUGAUGCUGGGAGGGCCGUGAAAUGGGGAGCCAAUGGUGGGAGCAUGGUGAACAUGGAGAGCUCAGACCCCACACCAUCUGGGGAGGUGCUCAUGUGAUGCUGGGAGCACUAGGAAAGCAGGGAGCCUGGACACAGCACUCACUGCUCCUCCCAUCUGGGACAGGAUUGGGGUGGGUGAUGAGAAAAGUUUCCCGAGUAACACAGUUCCCAAUCCUGGCAGAAUGACUCACCCCAGUUGCACUCACAGCCGAGACCCACUCAGCCCCUGGACCAAUCUAACACAGGGCAUGGUAAAUCCAGGAGUGAAUACUACUGAGGCAUCUGCCAGGGCAUAGGAAACAGUAACAAGAGGACGGCUCAGCUAGUGGCUCAGACUAUCUUGCCCCACACUCUCCAAUAUUGAGAGCCUUGAGCCCAGGAGGUUGAGGAUUCAGUGAAUUAUGAUCGUGCCACUGCACUCCAGACUGGUGACAGAGUAAGAGUCUGUCACACAUGCUCACACACACAAAUUAAAUUGUGUGAGCAGUUGUCACACAGGGAGAUCUGGAUGCACUCACUGUGGACCCAGGUCUCAGGGAGCAGGAGGGUGUUCUGUAUUGUGGGAACAUGAGGGACACACAUGGGACGGGGCAUUUGUGCCUAGCUUUGAAGGGUGGCUGGCCCUUUGCCCAGGGGGAAGAGGCCAGCAGAAUGCACUAACAGUGGGGAACCACCAGGAACUUUCACUUGAACCUGCUCUGCUGAGCCCCCUGUGCCAUCCGUGGACCUGGGCGAGGGAGGCUGCUGAACUGGGAGCUCAGGGCCCAUCUCUCUGAGGAGCUUUCUAAAUCAGCAAGUGUGUCACAGGUUGAGAUUUUAGGAACGGGGUCCUCCAU
rnacentral:lncRNA from 1 species